GAUGAACGCUGGCGGCGUGCCUAAUACAUGCAAGUCGAGCGAACAGAUGAGGAGCUUGCUCCUCUGACGUUAGCGGCGGACGGGUGAGUAACACGUGGAUAACCUACCUAUCAGACUGGGAUAACUUCGGGAAACCGGAGCUAAUACCGGAUAAUAUAUUGAACCGCAUGGUUCAAUAGUGAAUGACGGUUUUGCUGUCACUUAUAGAUGGAUCCGCGCCGCAUUAGCUAGUUGGUAAGGUAACGGCUUACCAAGGCAACGAUGCGUAGCCGACCUGAGAGGGUGAUCGGCCACACUGGAGCUGAGACACGGUCCAGACUCCUACGGGAGGCAGCAGUAGGGAAUCUUCCGCAAUGGGCGAAAGCUUGACGGAGCAACGCCGCGUGAGUGAUGAAGGUCUUCGGAUCGUAAAACUCUGUUAUUAGGGAAGAACAAAUGUGUAAGUAACUAUGCACGUCUUGACGGUACCUAAUCAGAAAGCCACGGCUAACUACGUG
rnacentral:rRNA from 1 species